rnacentral:rRNA from 1 species
GACGUAGGGCGCGAGCGUUGUCCGGAUUUAUUGGGCGUAAAGCGCGUGUAGGCGGCUCGGUAAGUCUGCUGUGAAAGUCCAGGGCUCAACCCUGGGGUGCCGGUGGAUACUGUCGAGCUCGAGUCCGGAAGAGGCGAGUGGAAUUCCUGGUGUAGCGGUGAAAUGCGCAGAUAUCAGGAGGAACACCAAUGGCGAAGGCAGCUCGCUGGGACGUGACUGACGCUGAGACGCGAAAGCGUGGGGAGCAAACAGG